GGCUGGUUUGAAGGUAGUGAGUUAUUUCAACUGAUUGUUCACAGUCAGUUACAGAUGAAACCCCUUAUUUUGCUCUUUCUCCCCUUCUCACUACUGCUCUUGAGUAGUUUUAA
rnacentral:Y_RNA from 1 species